AGUGAACGCUGGCGGCGUGCCUAAUACAUGCAAGUCGAACGAAGUGGCGCACGGGUGGGUAAUAUAUAGUUAAUCUACCCUACACAGAGGAAGAACAGUUGGAAACGACUGCUAAUACCUCAUAGUGUAGGAUGAUACUAUAACGUAUCAGCUAGUUGGUGAGGUAAUGGCUUACAACGGCUAUGACGCGUAACUGGUCUGCGAGGACGAUCAGCAGACUCCUAACGGAGACACGGGUAGGGAUCAUACGGGAAGGAGCAGAAACGUGUAGUGCGCAAGCGGGGUGACUGAGGAGGAGCAUCGGGUCGUAAAGGAUGAUACUUUUAGGAGAAUAAAUUGCUUUUAAAAGGAAAGCGGUACCUGAAGAAUAAGCACCGGCUAACUCCGUGCCAGCAGCCGCGGUAAUAC
rnacentral:rRNA from 1 species